ACUCAGGUCCUUCCCCCAACCAGGUGGUCCUUGAGGUGCAAGCUGGAGACCCCACGUUGCAGGCGAUCGCAGAAGCAGAAUUCUGUGGAUCAGGAAUUAAGCCACGACUUGGCUUGGCAACUGGGCAAUUCUUCUGCUCCCUGUGGCAUCAUCAGUGGUCACUCAGUGGGACUCAGCUGACCGACAGAUUAGUCCAGAGGAUCCAAGACAGCUUCACACAGACCUGAAUGACUGGCUGAGCUCAGCUAGAAGUGUCUUCAGGAGUACCUGCGCAUGGCCUUGCCAGCUGGCCAGUCUCACGGCAGGCUUACCUGGCGGCUGCUCCCUCCAGAGUGAGCGCUGCAGGAGAACCAGACAGAAGCUGGCCUUUCGUGAUACAGCCGCUGAAGCCAUGUAGCAUUACUUCCUAUAAAAUGUUGGUCGAAACAGCCACAGCAUCCCAUCUGGAGUCACAGGGAGGGGACAGAGACCCACCUUUCGAUGGAAGGAAUAACAGUGACCAUUUAAAAAAAAUGCCACAAGGAUAAGUUGUUCUCAGUGCAACAAGUCCAGAGAGGUUCAGCAACUUUCCCCAAGGACAGUUACGGAUAUGAACGGUGCUAGGAAGGAAACAAAAAACAGGGUGAAAGGCAGAGAAUGAAAGGAGAUGGUGGGAAACCAGGACCUGCUGUAUAGCAGAGGGAACUAUAUUCAGUAUCCUGUG
ensembl:lncRNA